UUGACUCCCCUCUUGCAGGGUUUGACACUCAAUUAACAUCAGAGAUAAUCACCAGGGGCCUCAUUUUCCAAGGUGAUGAGCUCACUCAGCUCCACCUGGUGUCACUGCAGUCCAGCUGCCCAUCUUCACAGGAAGGAAGGCAAUGGGCCUUGAUGGGCUCCAGGAAGGCAACUAGCUCAAGUCACCUUGACUCAGUUUUCCUCCACACCUCUUCCUGGGAUACACUUCCCAAAGGCUAUCCAUGGAGUAUCAUGUACUCCAUUGUGCUACAGCCUAGAAAGGCAGGACCAGAAGGGGUUUUCUGAUCAGAGGAACCAGUUUUCUGCUAUUGCAGGUGCAAAUGCAAGUGGAAUGGAAGUCCCCAAUGUACUAAAAAGGUUUUGUAAGCACAUGACCCUGCAUUGUGUACCACUACAUUCUAUUCAAUUCCUAUUACACCAACCCCUUCUUCCCAUCUUCCUCUGAUAAUUCCCCUUAAUCAUUAGCAAAUGUCACUAGCAUGCUUCUGUCUUUUCCAAAUGGCACUAACUGGAACUAAGAUGAGUAUUGUCCAAAAGAACCCUGACUACAAACUAUCUUUCAGCCUGACAGUUCCCUUUGCAGCAUGCAGCCUGACAGUCCCCAUUAGCCAGCCCUGUAAUCGCAUUUUUGUCUAGUCAGAAUCCAUUUUCCAGCAGAACUAUCAAUUUCCUUU